rnacentral:tRNA from 1 species
CAGGGUGUGGGAAAGCCUGGCAUUCCGCGUGCUUCGGGAGCACGAGAUCGCUGGUUCAAAUCCAGCCAUCCUGA